UCUCUAUGAUGUUUCAGCUGGUAAUACGAGAGAAGCUUUGAGCAGGUUCUAGAAUUGUCUCACUGUUCCGGUAAACCUUUUCAGAGCAUUCCAUGCUUCAAGUGCGCCCGUAGAUGUUUUAUACGCCACACAGAGAUAUCGUGAUGACCAUGAACAUGAUGCGAGAUCCAUAUUGUGAGAUUUGCACCAGACUGUUCCA
rnacentral:lncRNA from 1 species